GAAAACCGAUCGUAGUCCGGAUUGCACUCUGCAACUCGAGUGCAUGAAGUCGGAAUCGCUAGUAAUCGCAGGUCAGCAUACUGCGGUGAAUACGUUCCCGGGUCUUGUACACACCGCCCGUCACACCAUGGGAGUGGGGGAUACCAGAAGUAGGUAGGGUAACCGCAAGGAGCCCGCUUACCACGGUAUGCUUCAUGACUGGGGUGAAGUCGUAACAAGGUAGCCGUAGGGGAA
rnacentral:rRNA from 1 species